CCUCCAUGCCUUGAUUACUUUAACUUCUAAGAUCUAUUUUUUCCCUUUUAGAUCAUGUAGACAAUUGUAAAUCAUGUGAAGAUGGGACUCCUGGUAUUUGUGCGCAAUCUGCUGCUAGCCCUCUGCCUCUUUCUGGUACUGGGAUUUUUGUAUUAUUCUGCGUGGAAGCUGCACUUACUCCAAUGGGAAGACUCCAGUGAAGCAGUUUUUCUCCACCACAGUCUUCCAUCAUGAUUUUUCUGCCUCAGAGCCAGCUGACCAUGGAGUGAACUCCCUGAACUGUGAGCCAAAUAAACCUUUUAAAUUUUGUUAAGUGUUGGGUGUUUUGUCCCAGUGAUAGGAAAAUGACUAAUACAGUGUGUUCACUAGCUUAGUUGUGACAGUUUCACAGAUUAAUGUACGUAUGUUACAGAUACUGAUGAAUACAUCAAAAUUCACCAAGUCUAUACACUUUGGAUAGGGGCAAUUUAUGUUAUUAUAAUUUGGUAAAAAUAGCCAGGGAAAAAUAAUACCUUCAAAAGGACAACAAUUAGAUGGGUAAUUGGCUUCUGAAGAGUAGCAAUAAAAACUGGAAGUCAGUGAACUGUUUUUAUUAUUUUUAAAGAAAACAGCUGUCAGCUGGAAUCUGUACGUGCCAUGAAACCAUCUUUUGAGAAUGAGGCAGAUACUGAAGAAAAUUCACUACCAGCAAAAGGACCUUCAAAGGAAGGUACAGGAAGGAAUGAUAAACUGGUAAACCUUUGAGUAAACCUGCAUAAUAUUGGCUGUAUGCCACAAAAGGCAGUAUUACUCAGUUAGCAUCUGGCAUCAUAAAAGCCAAGAGAUGGAGCUAUACUACUAGUUGGUGAUAGAAUGUAAAUGAAGAAGUCAGGGAUACAGUGGGACGUACUUUACUUGUAAUUUCAGCACUCUGAGAGGUUGAGGCAGAAGGGUCCCAUGUUGGAACUCAGCUUGAGUGUUAUCGUUUGGACCAGAAGUGUUCCCCAGACAUCUUAAGGUUUCAGAGCGGGGCGUCUGGAAGCAGUGACUAGGUCAUGGUGUGCUAUAACUUCUGAAUGGAUUGUGGGCUAAUCCACUGAUGAGUUUACAGCUGACUGUGCUGUUAUGUGGUGGCACCUGGAAGAGGUUGUGACCUGGAAGGGAAUAUCUCCCUUCCUGCUUCUCCUUUUGCUAGGGAUGUCAUGACAUCAUGGACUGUCAUCAUGAGCCAAAAUAAACCUCACCUCCAUUAAAUUAUGGGUGUUGGUAUUUUGUCCCAGCGAUACGUGAUUUAAGACACUGGGUAACUUAGUGGGAUCCUGUUUUAAAGUAUAAAACAAGGGCUGGGCAUGUUGCUUAGUGCAAAGUGUCGAGUUCAAUCCCCAGUCAUGCAUCCCCCCACCUGCCAAAUUGAGGGGUAUCGAGUUAAAGCAUUUUUCUUACAUUUGUUAGUAUGGUGAGAUGUAUCAAUUCAGUUAGGCUUUGUUAAGGUAAAUAUGCAGAUGAGAUGUCUAGGCUAGUUACUACAAGAAAGAUAAUUAUAUCAAGUAUAUAAAAUCUAGUGAAAGGAAAGUAUUGUGAGAAAAAAUAGGCAGGAAGUCAAUAAGAGAAAAAGUGUUGAAGGAUGAGGCCAGUGAGUAACAUGUGAAACUAAAAGCUGAAUGUACGGUGCUGUAGUCAGGGAGCUGUGCUCGUCAGAGACAGAAUCUCUGAGCCAAGCAGAGUGCUGUCUUUUUUAAAAAAUGUUUUUAUUUUUAAGAGAAUAAAACCAAACAAAACAGAAUAAAGCCAAUCAAAACAAAACAGUGAAAGCAAAAUAAGAUAAUAAGAAAUCAACAAUGGCUGCCUUGAUGCCUCUUGUUCUCUUCAAAAUAUCUGCCCAUCCAUGAGACCUCAUAAAAUCAAAUAAAACAACAGAAUAAAACCAAUAAAAACAAAACAGGGCACUAUCUUUUAUAGCAACAGUGGUUCUUAAAAUUUGAUUAGAAGUACCAUAUUCGUACAUUAGUAAUGAGAUGCUGACUGCCUGUGGUGCUAUCUGCUAGCACCAUAGGACUAAUCAAACCAGGAGCCCCCAAUUGUAUUAAUUGUCAUUGUAUUUUUUUUCCUAUUUUAGGUGGUUUUUUUUGUUUGUUUGUUUUUAGUUUUUGUACCGGGGAUUGAACUCAUGACCUUGCAUUUGCCAAGCAGGCACUUACACUGCUGAGCUAAACCCCCACACGUGUUUUUUUUUAAAGCCAGUUUUACUUAAGAAUA